rnacentral:tRNA from 2 species
GCCUUAAUAGCUCAGUCGGCAGAGCGAGCGGCUGUUAACCGCUAGGUCACAGGUUCGAGCCCUGUUUAAGGCGCCA